rnacentral:rRNA from 1 species
CCUACGGGAGGCAGCAGUGGGGAAUAUUGGUCAAUGGGCGCAAGCCUGACCCAGCAACGCCGCGUGAAGGAAGAAGGCUUUCGGGUUGUAAACUUCUUUUCUGAGGGACGAAGAAAGUGACGGUACCUCAGGAAUCAGCCACUGCUAACUACGUGCCAGCAGCCGCGGUAAUACGUAGGGGGCAAGCGUUAUCCGGAAUUAUUGGGUGUAAAGGGCGUGUAGGCGGGAAAGCAAGUCAGACGUGAAAACUCAGGGCUCAACCCUGAGCCUGCAUUUGAAACUGUUUUUCUUGAGUGCUGGAGAGGUAAUCGGAAUUCCGUGUGUAGCGGUGAAAUGCGUAGAUAUACGGAGGAACACCAGUGGCGAAGGCGGAUUGCUGGACAGUAACUGACGCUGAGGCGCGAAAGCGUGGGGAGCAAACAGGAUUAGAUACCCCUGUAGUC